AGAAGGAGCAGACACAGGGGAAUGUCAAACACUUAUUUCCAUUGUCUGGAAAUCAGGCCCUCAGCCUUCUAAUCGUGUGGAGUUGGCAGUAGUGUAUAAACCUGACACUGUGGAAGCCCCUGCCAGCUGUGUCUGCAAAGACUAUUCUGAAAAGAAAACAGGCAGAGCUAUCAGAACUAGUGUUUUCAAGCUGCAUAACACGAUUGUCACAACUCAGUGUUGUGACUGAUUUCAAGCAGAGACAUGACAGCAUCUGGCAGCCUGUCACUGUGAAUGCCAGUGGCAUCACAUGCCGCAAAACCAAGGCACCAGCAGGGAUGUGUCUCUCUGUCCUCAUAGCCUGGCUUCAUUUGAAUCUUGCGUGUUGUGACUAUCAUCUCCAGAAAAGAGACCUCCGUACCUGUCUUCAGCUGAAUGUCUUACCUGCCUCUGGCAGGUAGUGUCACUAGAGGAGUGCUGCCAGCAUCAUCACCCGUUCUCCUGGACCGUGCAAAAGGAAGCUGCCAACAGAGGAUAAAAUACAGGAGAUGAAGCUUGGCCAUCCAGGCACCCUUUUGUCUGGAAAUGUCUGAUGCACAGACACAAAUUCAGAGAAAAAUUGAACCUACUGAGAUAGGUGUAACAGAGGAAAUUGAAAAGCUGAUGGAGUGGGG